rnacentral:rRNA from 1 species
UGGGGAAUAUUGGACAAUGGGCGCAAGCCUGAUCCAGCCAUGCCGCGUGUGUGAAGAAGGCCUUUUGGUUGUAAAGCACUUUAAGCGAGGAAGAGGCUACUUGGAUUAAUACUCUAGGAUAGUGGACGUUACUCGCAGAAUAAGCACCGGCUAACUCUGUGCCAGCAGCCGCGGUAAUACAGAGGGUGCGAGCGUUAAUCGGAUUUACUGGGCGUAAAGCGUGCGUAGGCGGCUUCUUAAGUCGGAUGUGAAAUCCCUGAGCUUAACUUAGGAAUUGCAUUCGAUACUGGGAAGCUAGAGUAUGGGAGAGGCUGGUAGAAUUCCAGGUGUAGCGGUGAAAUGCGUAGAGAUCUGGAGGAAUACCGAUGGCGAAGGCAGCCAUCUGGCCUAAUACUGACGCUGAGGUACGAAAGCAUGGGGAGCAAACAGG